CCAGCAGGACACCGGGUCUGGGCGAGCGGCGCUCCGGGCCGCCCGGUCCUCGCUGCUCUCCCAGGAGUCACCCGGAGGGCGCGAACAACCCGCGCCUUGGCAGGGCCACCGCAGAGGAAACCCCGAGAAGGGAUCGGGUGUCCCGCAUCGUGGCAGGGAGACCGUGCGUGGACCCCGAGGGGACAACCGUGGAGACGUUUCGUAGAAAGGGCCGAUUGGCAGGUGCCAGGGCGUUGCGCUUCGCUCUGACCUCCCGAUUGCCAGCCAGUCCCCAGGCAAAGCUCAGCGGGAGCUGGAGAGGAAAAAAGGAGCCUCCCACCCCAGCUACAUUUUGGAAGGCCGGUAGCUAAGUAAAUACAAGUCCCGUCACAGAGGCAGCCUUCCUGGCCUCCACGUCCGGCCUCCCAGGACCCAGAAUGUCUUCCUUCCCCGGACUGUAGAGAAGGACUUCUCUCAAAGCAGUGAAAUCAAAGCGCAGGAAGGGGACUCAGAGAUCAGAGAGCAACCCUCCACAGCCCAGUCAUGGACCACAGGCCUCCCAGCCCAGACUUGUGUCCUGCAGGCGUAGCCAGGAGACAGCUCCCUUCAGUGUCCUCUCCCUCUGGGCUCUCAGCCCGCCACACCUGCCUCCUUUGCUCCUCUACAGGUCCCAGCAUCAGACAGGAGGUUACCAGGAAUACCGGUUGUCCCGGUUGGGACCCUGGGUCUGACCCAGUCUGAUUAAAGCCACCCGGUAGCCUCCAGAAGGAAUGGGUAAAUGUAACUACAGAAAAAAAUGCAACGGGUGUAAGCCUCUAGCGACCUCAGCUUCAUCCCCAGGUCACGCCAGGCUGCUACUUACCUUACCGUUUGUCAAUCUUGUCAACUCUUCCAGAGUAAUCCUCAACAUUGAAACCCCAGCCAGCUUGCAGCCUUGGAGCGCGGGCCUAAUGACACCUGCUAAUGAGGAGAGCCACUCAGGAGCACGGGCCUUGUAUCUGGACUCUCUAUCAGAAGCCCCAAAGGUCUUUGCGGGCGGGGUGCUUCUGGAUUCGUUGGGAUGAGGGCUGCAGAGCAGAGAUAGGGGACUCACCGUUUACUGCUCUCAACAGCUCCUCGGCCUUUGCAAAAAAACGCUCUCUUCUCCUUUCACACAAAACUUUUCAGUUCUCUCUCCCCACUCCGAGGUGUGGUUAUGUCUGCUGAACCUGUACAAUGGGGUGGCGUAUCCCAAAUGUCUUUUGAAGGAAACCUAAGUUCGUGAAGAUUAUUUACUGCAGACUCGGAGAAACAGCUGAAUUGCUGUGUGCCUCGAAGUGUGACAUGGAACUUCUGUUCCCUUUGUGACCAAGGAGUCCCCAGAAACCAAAACCAGGAGAGUGGAGCAGACCAGACGGGAGCCGACCACGAAGCAGGAAGGAAAGAAAAUAAGCAGCAUCCGUAGACAGCGUGAUAUCUGAAUGUUGGCCAGAGUUCCUAAAUCCUGGCCAAGUCGGUGAGAAUGAGGACUCAGAGUGUGCUGUUGGAGCUCACAACAUGGAAGGAGUUAAACAGAAACUGUAAUUUAAAAACUCCCAAAACAUUUGUGAGGCGCAAAGUGACUGAGUUUCCUGGCCUUGACUUUCCCGAUAACAAAGCUACAGUCCCGAGACCUCACAGACUCUUCCUCCUUCCAAAGAAACAUUUGACUGCUCCGAAGUAAAACUUCAUGCAAAACGAAUUUUUUUUCUCUCAGAACAGAAUAUAUAACUUUCUUAUCAACUUAAUCAUAACUCAAGGAGCCAUGCAUGUUUUAAACCAGUUUUCAAAAGCAAAAAAAAAAAAAAAAAAAAAAACCAACCAGGUACCCAAGAGGCAUUUCUCAACUCAUUUUCAACAUUUUGUUUAUGAGAGAGAAUCUGAGUUACUCAUACCAGCUUUGAACUCACAAUGCCCCUGCCUCAGCCUCUCUGGUGAUGGAAUGACAGGCAUGUGUUGCCACUGAGCUAGUCAUAGCUUGUCCGUUCCAAAGGCAACCUUUUAAGUAUUCCAUCCAGAAUAAAAUGUACUCUUAUUGGAAGUUGUUAACAAAUAUGUAUGGUUGGGAAGUAAAAGGGGUUUUUAUUCUUUUAUUUCCAAGUUGAGUUUGAACUUACCUCCAGGGCCCUCGGUCGCCUCUGCUGUUUCUGAUGCCAUCCAGAAGGAAGACAGCACAGGGAAUGGUCACCACACUCCACUGCCCUGAAGACAAAUGAGAAGGAGAAAACACCGUGGGGUUAUCACCAGCUAUUAGAGGAAAGCCUCAGAUCUGAGGCCACAGCUCCCGCUGGAUGCAGAGCUUUCCCUAUAAAGCCGAGUUCCUGCCCAAGUGCCUGCGUCAUUAUUGGUAUUUCUGUCAUUUUAAAACAGAGUGGACUCUUGGUAAGUUCAGGUUCAGGCUUCUCCUUCAUGUCAUAGGCCAUUAACUGAUAAUGAGUGUGUGCUCACACGUCUCCAUUGUGGUUGAGUGUCCCGAAGAGAUAUGAUCUUGACAAGAUUUCCAUGAAUGCCUUCUGACCUCUCCUGCAGACUAUUCCAAAUUAUAUAUAUACAUGGCAAAUCUAUAAAUAUAAAAAAUACAUAGUUGACCUCGGGGCUGUGGGUGUCUUUUUGAGAUGAUAAAAGUCUUGACAGUGGUGUGACACCAAGAAAAGUUGGCCAAGUUAUCAACAGUGGCAAAGUUGUGCAUUUUAAAAUGAUAUACACGGUGAAUUUUAUAUUAUGUGAAUUUCACCUUAUGUUUCCUAAAAGGAAAAGCUGCCAUAUUCCCAUAUUAGUGUGGAUUGGGAUUAAUGCAGGCCAAAUAUUCAGGAAGAAGAGACUAGAAAUCAAAUCUUGCCUAUCACAGUGGAAACUAAAAUGGAUAACUAUGCUAAUUGUUUAAUUGUCUCCAUAUAUAGCCAGAAAACAAAUAUGAAUUUCACUGAAUAAACAUUUUGGUCUCUCA